rnacentral:rRNA from 1 species
UACGUAGGGCGCAAGCGUUGUCCGGAAUUAUUGGGCGUAAAGAGCUCGUAGGCGGUUUGUCGCGUCGGGAGUGAAAUCCACUGGCUUAACUGGUGGCUUGCUUUCGAUACGGGCAGACUGGAGGUAUGCAGGGGAGAACGGAAUUCCUGGUGUAGCGGUGAAAUGCGCAGAGAUCAUGAGGAAGACCAGUGGCGAAGGCGGGUCUCUGGACAGUUCCUGACACUGAGACACGAAGGCCAGGGGAGCAAACGGG